AGGACAGAUUAUUGUAUUCGACUGUAUUCACGGCGUGAAACAGGGGAUUACACUGUUUUUAAACGGAAAGUGAAUCAAUUAACAUAAUAGACUCCU
rnacentral:pre_miRNA from 1 species